rnacentral:lncRNA from 1 species
CACGGGGGUCCCACAGCGUGACGGGAACUUCAAUACAGAGGCUUUUUCCCUCACAAUAAGGGUAAAACGUUAGGAAUGUGGAACAGAGAGGGACGGUGCCCAGCCCAGUGCCUGUGGUGUGGUAACUGAUGGUUGCUCAGGUAAUAAAACAGAACGGUUGAGCUGCAAAAGCACAAUUCGUGUGGCUUUUCUGGAGAACCCAAGGCCAGGCCUGCUGGCGGUCGGUCGCUCAGGCUCUCUCUGGAGCCCGCACCCCUCCGCAACAACCGCCAGGCCCGCCGUCCCUCAGCGCAGCAGAAAUGCCCGUACACCUGCCGCCCGCCAUACACCGCACCACCCUCAGGAGGCACCGAACCCCCGCCCCUGAGGGGGGACGCCGGGCGCCCCCGUAGCCCGCCCGCCCGCCCGUCGCCAUAGCAACGCCCCCCCUACCCCGACCCUGGAACCCUCUGGCCACGCCCCCCUUCUUAUUGCAUAUUCAUGACCCCCAAGUGCAGGGGUGGGGGCGUGAAGGGGGCGGAAGCGGAAGCGGGAACGGGUUUCCGAGGAGCCCGGUAUAAAGCGGCCGCUGGUGCCCGGUGUCGCUCGCCGUGUUUGUGCCGCCGUGAGUGUGCUCUCCCCUCCCUCCUCCUCCUCCCCCCCCCACCCCUCCCGCCGGCCGCUGCGGGUACCUCCCGGCACCGUCGCAGCCUCCCCCGUCGCACGGAGCAGGUCCCGGGUGCAGGGGGAGACCCGGGGGCAGAUUAAUCAGCCACUCGAUGGGGAUUAACAGUGGAGCACCUCUUUGUGUCGCCUUUCCACCUCUCUGUAGCAAGAAUAACAACUUCAGCACUUCUUCAAUAAUAAUUAUGAAACUGGUAUUAACUGAAUGGCAAUUAUGGAUUUUUAACUCUAACUCACAGUAAACCAGCAAGCCAUAUGUUGAAAUUCCUACCAAAUAGCUUUCCAUUCUUUAUGUCUCGUAUCUACACAAGAAGUUGCAAGAUACUUGUUUGUACAAGAGGAAUAUAAGCAUUACUUGCCUGAGGAACGGAAGGUGAAAGAGAAGACACCCUGACUUGUU